CCUACGGGUGGCUGCAGUGGGGAAUAUUGCACAAUGGGCGCAAGCCUGAUGCAGCCAUGCCGCGUGUGUGAAGAAGGCUUUCGGGUUGUAAAGCACUUUCAGCGGGGAGGAAGGCGGUGAGGUUAAUAACCUCAUCGAUUGACGUUACCCGCAGAAGAAGCACCGGCUAACUCCGUGCCAGCAGCCGCGGUAAUACGGAGGGUGCAAGCGUUAAUCGGAAUUACUGGGCGUAAAGCGCACGCAGGCGGUCUGUCAAGUCGGAUGUGAAAUCCCCGGGCUCAACCUGGGAACUGCAUUCGAAACUGGCAGGCUAGAGUCUUGUAGAGGGGGGUAGAAUUCCAGGUGUAGCGGUGAAAUGCGUAGAGAUCUGGAGGAAUACCGGUGGCGAAGGCGGCCCCCUGGACAAAGACUGACGCUCAGGUGCGAAAGCGUGGGGAGCAAACAGGAUUAGAUACCCUAGUAGUC
rnacentral:rRNA from 1 species